rnacentral:misc_RNA from 1 species
GCAAAAAUAUUCCCUACUGUGAAGAUAUAUUUUCAAAUGAAAAUUGCAUCUCACAUGAAUGAUUAUGGCAUCAACUUGCUCUAUUAGUAGACUAGUAACGUUAGCAGUUACUAAUAGUUUUUUUUGUUACAGUGGCUGGUAAUGAGAUAUGGAAUAUUCAACAUAGAAGUUAUUCAAGCAGCAAUUCAGAUUGCGAAGUAAGAGGGUGUUUAUGUCUCAUUGGAUUUGGCCA